rnacentral:rRNA from 1 species
AUUGAACGCUGGCGGCAGGCUUAACACAUGCAAGUCGACCGAGUGGCGGACGGGUGAGUAAUGUCUGGGAAACUGCCUUAUGGAGGGGGAUAACUACUGGAAACGGUAGCUAAUACCGCAUACCAUCGGAUGUGCCCAGAUGGGAUUAGCUAGUAGGUGGGGUAAUGGCUAACCUAGCCGACGAUCCCUAGCUGGUCUGAGAGGAUGACAAGCCACACGGGUACUGAGACACGGCCCAGACUCCUACGGGAGGCAGCAGUGGGGAAUAUUGCACAAUGGGCGCAAGCCUGAUGCAGCCAUGCCGCGUGAAUGAAGAAGGCCUUCGGGUUGUAAAGUUCUUUCAGACGGGAGGCGUUAACGGCAGAAGAAGCACCGGCUAACUCCGGGCCAGCCGCCGCGGUAAGUC